UACGGAGGGAGCUAGCGUUGUUCGGAAUUACUGGGCGUAAAGCGCGCGUAGGCGGCUUUGUAAGUUAGAGGUGAAAGCCCGGGGCUCAACCCCGGAAUUGCCUUUAAGACUGCAUCGCUUGAAUCCGGGAGAGGUGAGUGGAAUUCCGAGUGUAGAGGUGAAAUUCGUAGAUAUUCGGAAGAAACACCAGUGGCGAAGGCGGCUCACUGGACCGGCAUUGACGCUGAGGUGCGAAAGCCGUGGGGAGCAAACAGG
rnacentral:rRNA from 1 species